AUUGAACGCUGGCGGCAGGCCUAACACAUGCACGUCGAGCGAGCGGCGGACGGGUGAGUAAUGUAUGGGGACUGCCCGAUAGAGGGGGCUAACUACUGGAAAAGGGAGCUAAUUCCCCAUACUCUCGCAUAACCCAUAUGGGAUUAGCUAGUUGGUGGGGUAAUGGGUCACCAAGUCGACGAUGCCUAGCUGGUCUGAGAGGCUGAUCAGCCACACUGGGACUGAGACACGGCGCAGACUCCUACGGAGGCAGCGUGGGGGAAUAUUGCACAAUGGGCUCAAGCCUGAUGCAGCCAUGCCGCGUGUAUGAAGAAGGCCUUAGGGUUGUAAAGUACUUUCAGUCGGGAGGCGUUACCGGCAGAAGAAGCACCGGCUAACUCCGUGCCAGCAGCCGCGGUAAUUC
rnacentral:rRNA from 1 species